GAUGAACGCUGGCGGCGUGCCUAAUACAUGCAAGUCGAGCGAACGGACGAGAAGCUUGCUUCUCUGAUGUUAGCGGCGGACGGGUGAGUAACACGUGGAUAACCUACCUAUAAGACUGGGAUAACUUCGGGAAACCGGAGCUAAUACCGGAUAAUAUUUUGAACCGCAUGGUUCAAAAGUGAAAGACGGUUUUGCUGUCACUUAUAGAUGGAUCCGCGCUGCAUUAGCUAGUUGGUAAGGUAACGGCUUACCAAGGCAACGAUGCAUAGCCGACCUGAGAGGGUGAUCGGCCACACUGGAACUGAGACACGGUCCAGACUCCUACGGGAGGCAGCAGUAGGGAAUCUUCCGCAAUGGGCGAAAGCCUGACGGAGCAACGCCGCGUGAGUGAUGAAGGUCUUCGGAUCGUAAAACUCUGUUAUUAGGGAAGAACAUAUGUGUAAGUAACUAUGCACGUCUUGACGGUACCUAAUCAGAAAGCCACGGCUAACUACGUG
rnacentral:rRNA from 1 species